UUGAAUAAACCUGGGCUUGCUGAUGCUGGUCUCUCCGGAGGCAUGUGCUCGCUUGUCCAUCUUUAUAUCUCCACCUGUGCACACACUGUAGAGCCGGAUAUAUGUUGGGAAGUGGCGUUGAGCUGCUUUGCUUCUUCUGGUCCUACGUAUUUUUCACAUACACCUUGAAAAUGUAAUAGAAUGUAUCACUAGGUCUUUGAACCUAUAAAACAAUAUA
rnacentral:misc_RNA from 1 species